GCGAGCGUGUCCGCUGCCGCGCCGCGGCAGAGCCGCUCAGAGGCGGGCCGCGGCCUGUUCGCGGUUGCGCGAAAUGCGUGCCAGUAGGAAUCGCGAAACGGCAAGAAGCGCGCGGCCGGAGGUUGGGCAUCGGCGCCGCCGUCUCUCCGCAGGUGACAAAUCAGUUGUGUUUGAUUGGACGUUCGAACGUUAUAGUCCAGGUAUCGGCCGCGCCGAGAGGAUGUGCUCCACGUGCGUGCGGCGCUUACAUCGGCCGCACCGGCCACCUUCAUUAAUUUCUGAUCGCGCUCGGACGCGCACGAUACAACUUCAUAUUGGUGCCCCCGACUGACCACCACCGCCGUGCGCCGCAUUGACUAAAUGAAUCCAUCAGGGCCACGGUAAACUCCGUAAUGGACAAUGGGAGCGUCGAGUCCAGAAAACGGGGGGGCAAAUUUAUGAGAAAUAAAUGAUGAAUUCGCCCAAUCGAGACGUAUUCAUCACUUAUGCAUGUCUUGCUUAUAUGGACGUCAGGCACCAACGUCGAUUUAUUUUGCACGGAAUAAUAAAAUGAAUUAUUCCGCGCUGAAUUAUUUAGUUUCCGAACUUUUAUUUCAACGGAACCUAAACGAGCUUCUCAUGUUCGUGCUCAUCAAAUAUAAAACUUAUUUUCGCCCAAAUAAAGUACUCACAAUGUUCCUCCA